GCUGGAUGCAUACAUAGUGUGGUGCUGAACGAAUUCGCAAAUUCAUCUAACCAGGAAUUUUGAAGGUAAAGCGAACGUUAAUUCCGGUUCUCCCCCGGUCCAGGUAUAGGAGUCCAUGGCUGAAUCCCAAGAAAUCAUCGCCAAGCAAUCCAAGGUGCAAGGAUAUUUACAUUGACUAGCUAAAUUAAUCCCAAGAAAUCAUCACCCCAACCUACAAGAGAAGAGAAAGGGCCAAGAAUUGAAGCCGUUUCCGUGCGUUUAGGCAAGUUCCAGCCCAAGCGCAAGCCCCUUUCCUAGGGAUAUCCAUCGCUCCGCCAUGCCGACCGCUCGAGAUUCGUGCAAGAACAAGAGGGAUAGGCAGAAUCUGAGAUUCCACUAGGAAAAGUGGAGCUUGAGGAUUCUCUACAGAAUAAAAUGUUUAGGGGCAAGAUGCUUUUGGAUGCUCGUGUUGAGAAUCAAAGAGCGAUGGUGGUUCCUGUCGUCUGGACGUCCAAAGCUGUUGAAGAUUGUGAUGCCUACAAAUGCACAAACGGCUAUACUAAUAGGACUGCCACGCCAAGAUACAAACUGGUUAUCAUGGCGGCUGAUGAGGGUUCAGCUGUGGAGAUGGUGUUUUAGUGGCAGAUUCUUACAGCCUAAGAUUCUAUCCCUCGUGAAAUUUAGCGUUGAUUGGGAGGAAAUAUGUUGUUGAUGUGGCCGUUCUGUAUUCAUUUCACAGGGCCCGUAUCCCUCGUGAAAUUUAGCGUUGAUUGGGACGUCCUGAAGGUGGUGCAAUUUUUUCUCACUUUAUGUUGCUUGGUGUGCCAGCUGAUGUGUUACCUGAACCUCUACCUCCUUCAUUAGGUAAUAGUGCUCAUCACCUGAUUAUGCCUGUCCGUACUGAAAUCAAAGAUUGAUGGUCUUUCUA